rnacentral:rRNA from 1 species
GACGAACCCCGUUAAGAGUGCUUAACACAUGCAAGUCGAACGGAAAGGCCCUGCUUUUGUGGGGUGCUCGAGUGGCGAACGGGUGAGUAACACGUGAGUAACCUGCCCUUGACUUUGGGAUAACUUCAGGAAACUGGGGCUAAUACCGGAUAGGAGCUCCUGCUGCAUGGUGGGGGUUGGAAAGUUUCGGCGGUUGGGGAUGGACUCGCGGCUUAUCAGCUUGUUGGUGGGGUAGUGGCUUACCAAGGCUUUGACGGGUAGCCGGCCUGAGAGGGUGACCGGCCACAUUGGGACUGAGAUACGGCCCAGACUCCUACGGGAGGCAGCAGUGGGGAAUAUUGCACAAUGGGCGGAAGCCUGAUGCAGCAACGCCGCGUGCGGGAUGACGGCCUUCGGGUUGUAAACCGCUUUCGCCUGUGACGAAGCGUGAGUGACGGUAAUGGGUAAAGAAGCACCGGCUAACUACGUGCCAGCAGCCGCGGUGAUACGUAGGGUGCGAGCGUUGUCCGGAUUUAUUGGGCGUAAAGGGCUCGUAGGUGGUUGAUCGCGUCGGAAGUGUAAUCUUGGGGCUUAACCCUGAGCGUGCUUUCGAUACGGGUUGACUUGAGGAAGGUAGGGGAGAAUGGAAUUCCUGGUGGAGCGGUGGAAUGCGCAGAUAUCAGGAGGAACACCAGUGGCGAAGGCGGUUCUCUGGGCCUUUCCUGACGCUGAGGAGCGAAAGCGUGGGGAGCGAACAGGCUUAGAUACCCUGGUAGUCCACGCUGUAAACGGUGGGUACUAGGUGUGGGGUCCAUUCCACGGGUUCCGUGCCGUAGCUAACGCUUUAAGUACCCCGCCUGGGGAGUACGGCCGCAAGGCUAAAACUCAAAGGAAUUGACGGGGCCCCGCACAAGCGGCGGAGCAUGCGGAUUAAUUCGAUGCAACGCGUAGAACCUUACCUGGGUUUGACAUGGAUCGGGAGUGCUCAGAGAUGGGUGUGCCUCUUUUGGGGUCGGUUCACAGGUGGUGCAUGGCUGUCGUCAGCUCGUGUCGUGAGAUGUUGGGUUAAGUCCCGCAACGAGCGCAACCCUUGUUCACUGUUGCCAGCACGUUAUGGUGGGGACUCAGUGGAGACCGCCGGGGUCAACUCGGAGGAAGGUGGGGAUGACGUCAAGUCAUCAUGCCCCUUAUGUCCAGGGCUUCACGCAUGCUACAAUGGCUGGUACAGAGAGUGGCGAGCCUGUGAGGGUGAGCGAAUCUCGGAAAGUCGGUCUCAGUUCGGAUUGGGGUCUGCAACUCGACCUCAUGAAGUCGGAGUCGCUAGUAAUCGCAGAUCAGCAACGCUGCGGUGAAUACGUUCCCGGGGCU